rnacentral:RNase_P_RNA from 19 species
ACACACGUGGGAAGGUCCGGGCAGGCCAAUCCGAUCGGCUUUGCCGAUAGCGGAAUGUUCGAAAGGAACACGUUUGCUUAUAGCGACGUCCAACUUACAAGCAAUGGAACGGUAGUAAACUACCGUAACGCUAAGCGUGCUGGGAGAUAGCCCGAAACGGAACGGGACAGUGCCGGUGGGGGACGGUGCUUUAGUACCGUGUUCCAUGCUCGCGCUCGGCGCAGGAGACACGUGUUGAUGGUGGGCGACAGUUGUCGUUUCUCCAUUGGCCGUCGAUGCGUUGCUCGUUUGCGUUCUUCUGGUUCUUAGCUUGGAACAUGGGUUGGGUGGCCACUUUGGUAUCAAAGCAGUUCAAUCAGCGAGGAACCGCGCCCCGGUUCGAUUUGAGAUCGGACACGCGGUUUAACUCAAUCCGGACUACAGUCCC